GAACUCCUCCGACGGGUGAGCUCCCAUUGAACCCUCCGGACUUCUCCAAUGACAAGCUCCUUCGACCGUCCACCGGACUACUUCAAGUGCCCUCCGGGCUCCAUUAUCAGCCGACCUCUCGCGGCGAUCGACUGAUCUCUGAAUCUCUUCAGACUUCUCCCGACCAUGAUCGACUCUAGUCCGAACUUCCUCCGGACUUCGUCAAUGGCUGAACUUCCCCAAUGGC
rnacentral:lncRNA from 1 species